CAACAUGGACUCCUCCCUGGAGAUCAAAUAGGAAACUUCUUUUAACAGACAGUAGAUACCAAAGAAUCGGUAUACAGGCUCACCUAUCCAUCCUCUUUGUUCCCAAGCACAAUGUGAAGAUCAGUGAAAAAAUCAAUGGGGCACUGUGGACGGUACCACAUGGUCUUCUACCCACUUUUCCUAGAGAAUGAAGUCCAAGCAGGAGUUUCAUGAUGAUCAGGCAGGAGACUGAUGACAAUCAAAAAAGAGUUCUCUCCUCCUCUUGUUAACAGGUUGUAUAACAGAAGCAAAGCAUAAGAGAAAGCAAUUUCUUCUGGGAGAGCCUUGGCAGGAAGUUCAUGGAGAUGCCAAUGCAGAAGCAAAGGGAAUGAAGAUACCUGCCUCACCUCUUUGCUUCUCAGCUCUUCCCAUUGGAGGCUGGGGAUCAGAAAAGAGCCAGGCAAAGCACAAGAGAAAGCAAUCACAUCUCUUUCAUAGUUGGCUGAAAAUUCACAGAGAUGACCAUGGGGAAGCAAAGGGAAUGAUGGAAUGUACCUCUCUUUUCUCUUGUCCAACCAUUACAAAAUGAGGACCGUUUAGGACAGAAGACUAGAAAUUUCUGUUGACCUGAAAGGACAUACAAGGGAAUGAUGAAAAGUACCUACCUCGCCAUUAUUUUUCUUCUGUGUUUUCUUCUUUGGAAGAGGUGAAGACCUGGGAAGAGAUACAUGAGGCAGAAUUGAAGGCACUCGACUUGCUUCUUCUCAUUUUCCCUGAAGGCUAGAAUCCUACUAUGAAUGUCAUAAAGAUCAGUCAGGAGACUUAUGAAAUAUGAUGGAAGGUACAUAUCUCUCAUCCUUCCUGCUCUCCUCUUCCCUUUGGAGGGUGGAGAUCAGGUAGGAGAUAGGCAAAGCAUAAUAAAAAGCAACUACCUCUCCUUGAGGAACCAGAUCUUGAAGACCUGGCAGGAGAUUCAUGAAGAAGAGUACGUGAAGCGAAGAACAUAAUGGAAUUCAUACACCAUUCUCUUCUCAGUCCCCUUGGAACUGUGAGACCUAGCAGGAGACCAGGUAGGUAUCUUGGAUUGGACAGUCCCAUGUUAGGAGGGAAAGAGGAGGAAACCCGAUCACGUCUGCAUUUCUCUUACCUUGCCAUCCAUACAGAAUUUAGGGUGGAGGGAGGAUCCAGAUGAAUCCCAAUGCAAGGCCACUGACUCUCUUUAUCCCUCUUUUCCUCAAGAUCAGAGUACUUGCAGGAGACUUGAGUCUGGAGUCCUGGUAAGAUUUUCCUAAAGAUGAUGCUGGAAAGAACACUUAAGUGAGUGCAGACUCCCUUUUCGUCUCUUUUUACUUCCAUUAUAACCUGGAGAUCUAGCAGGAGAAAAGGGAGUGAAGAUCUGGGAAGAGACAGAAAUAGCAGAAUUGAAGUUACCGGGCUGGCUUCUUACCUCUUUUACUGGAAGCUAGGAUUCCGGGAAGAGGUUAAUGAAGGUGACUCAUGGAAUUCAGAGAAGAGACCCAUGGAAUAUUAUGGAAGCUAUUGGCCUCACCUCUUUCCUUCUCUCCUCUUCCCUUUGGAGGUUGGGGAUCAGGAUGGAGCCAGGCAAAGGACAGGAGAAAAUAGCCACUUCUCAUUGUGGACCAUGAGGCUGGAGACUUGGCAGGACAUUCAUGGAGAUGAGGAUUUGAAGCACCAGGCUUGAUAGAAGGCACUCACCUCUUCUACUCUACCUUCCUUUGCAACAUGGACUCCUCCCUGGAGAUCAAAUAGGAAACUUCUUUUAACAGACAGUAGAUACCAAAGAAUCGGUAUACAGGCUCACCUAUCCAUCCUCUUUGUUCCCAAGCACAAUGUGAAGAUCAGUGAAAAAAUCAAUGGGGCACUGUGGACGGUACCACAUGGUCUUCUACCCACUUUUCCUAGAGAAUGAAGUCCAAGCAGGAGUUUCAUGAUGAUCAGGCAGGAGACUGAUGACAAUCAAAAAAGAGUUCUCUCCUCCUCUUGUUAACAGGUUGUAUAACAGAAGCAAAGCAUGAGAGAAAGCAAUUUCUUCUGGGAGAGCCUUGGCAGGAAGUUCAUGGAGAUGCCAAUGCAGAAGCAAAGGGAAUGAAGAUACCUGCCUCACCUCUUUGCUUCUCAGCUCUUCCCAUUGGAGGCUGGGGAUCAGAAAAGAGCCAGGCAAAGCACAAGAGAAAGCAAUCACAUCUCUUUCAUAGUUGGCUGAAAAUUCACAGAGAUGACCAUGGGGAAGCAAAGGGAAUGAUGGAAUGUACCUCUCUUUUCUCUUGUCCAACCAUUACAAAAUGAAGACCAUUUAGGACAGAAGACUAGAAAUUUCUGUUUACCUGAACGGACAUACAAGGGAAUGAUGAAAAGUACCUACCUCGCCAUUAUUUUUCUUCUGUGUUUUCUUCUUUAGAAGAGGUGAAGACCUGGGAAGAGAUACAUGAGGCAGAAUUGAAGGCACUCGACUUGCUUCUUCUCAUUUUCCCUGAAGGCUAGAAUCCUACUAUGAAUGUCAUAAAGAUCAGUCAGGAGACUUUUGGAAUAUGAAGGAAGGUACAUAUCUCUCAUCCUUCCUGCUCUCCUCUUCCCUUUGGAGGGUGGAGAUCAGGUAGGAGAUAGGCAAAGUAUAAUACAAAGCAACUACCUCUCCUUGAGGAACCAGAUCUUGAAGACUUGGCAGGAGAUUCAUGAAGAAGAGUACGUGAAGCGAAGAACAUGAUGGAAUUCAUACACCAUUCUCUUCUCAGUCCCCUUGGAACUGUGAGACCUAGCAGGAGACCAGGUAGGUAUCUUGGAUUAGACAGUCCCAUGUUAGGAGGGAAUGAGGAGGAAACCCGAUCACGUCUGCAUUUCUCUUACCUUGCCAUCCAUACAGAAUUUAGGGUGGAGGGAGGAUCCAGAUGAAUCCCAAUGCAAGGCCACUGACUCUCUUUAUCCCUCUUUUCCUCAAGAUCAGAGUACUUGCAGGAGACUAGAGUCUGGAGUCUUGGUAAGAUUUUCCUAAAGAUGAUGCUGGAAAGAACACUUAAGUGAGUGCAGACUCCCUUUUCGUCUCUUUUUACUUCCAUUAUAACCUGGAGAUCUAGCAGGAGAAAAGGUAUGAAAUUUGUGUUGGUCAGACAAGAGUUACAAGUCAGUUAACGAAUAUAGCUAGGCCCUAUCUUCACCUCUCUUCUCUUUUCUUCCAUGCAGGGAGUGAAGAUCUGGGAAGAGACAGAAAUAGCAGAAUUGAAGUUACCGGGCUGGCUUCUUACCUCUUUUACUGGAACCUAGCGUUCCGGGAAGAGGUUAAUGAAGGUGACUCAUGGAAUUCAGAGAAGAGACCCAUGGAAUAUUAUGGAAGCUAUCGGCCUCACCUCUUUCCUUCUCUCCUCUUCCCUUUGGAGGUUGGGGAUCAGGUUGGAGCCAGGCAAAGGACAGGAGAAAAUAGCCACUUCUCAUUGUGGACCAUGAGGCUGGAGACUUGGCAGGACAUUCAUGGAGAUGAGGAUUUGAAGCACCAGGCUUGAUAGAAGGCACUCACCUCUUCUACUCUACCUUCCUUUGCAACAUGGACUCCUCCCUGGAGACCAAAUAGGAAACUUCUUUUAACAGACAGUAGAUACCAAAGAAUCGGUAUACAGGCUCACCUAUCCAUCCUCUUUGUUCCCAAGCACAAUGUGAAGAUCAGUGAAAAAAUCAAUUGGGCACUGUGGACGGUACCACAUGGUCUUCUACCCACUUUUCCUAGAGAAUGAAGUCCAAGCAGGAGUUUCAUGAUGAUCAGGCAGGAGACUGAUGACAAUCAAAAAAGAGUUCUCUCCUCCUCUUGUUAACAGGCUGUAUAACAGAAGCAAAGCAUAAGAGAAAGCAAUUUCUUCUGGGAGAGCCUUGGCAGGAAGUUCAUGGAGAUGCCAAUGCAGAAGCAAAGGGAAUGAAGAUACCUGCCUCACCUCUUUGCUUCUCAGCUCUUCCCAUUGGAGGUUGGGGAUCACAAAAGAGCCAGGCAAAGCACAAGAGAAAGCAAUCACAUCUCUUUCAUAGUUGGCUGAAAAUUCACAGAGAUGACCAUGGGGAAGCAAAGGGAAUGAUGGAAUGUACCUCUCUUUUCUCUUGUCCAACCAUUACAAAAUGAGGACCAUUUAGGACAGAAGACUAGAAAUUUCUGUUGACCUGAACGGACAUACAAGGGAAUGAUGAAAAGUACCUACCUCGCUAUUAUUUUUCUUCUGUGUUUUCUUCUUUGGAAGAGGUGAAGACCUGGGAAGAGAUACAUGAGGCAGAAUUGAAGGCACUCGACUUGCUUCUUCUCAUUUUCCCUGAAGGCUAGAAUCCUACUAUGAAUGUCAUAAAGAUCAGUCAGGAGACUUAUGGAAUAUGAUGGAAGGUACAUGUCUCUCAUCCUUCCUGCUCUCCUCUUCCCUUUGGAGGGUGGAGAUCAGGUAGGAGAUAGGUAAACUAUAAUACAAAGCAACUACCUCUCCUUGAGGAACCAGAUCUUGAAGACUUGGCAGGAUAUUCAUGAAAAAGAGCAUGUGAAGCGAAGAAUAUGAUGGAAUUCAUACACCAUUCUCUUCUCAGUCCCCUUGGAACUGUGAGACCUAGCAGGAGACCAGGUAGGUAUCUUGGAUUGGACAGUCCCAUGUUAGGAGGGAAUGAGGAGGAAACCCGAUCACGUCUGCAUUUCUCUUACCUUGCCAUCCAUACAGAAUUUAGGGUGGAGGGAGGAUCCAGAUGAAUCCCAAUGCAAGGCCACUGACUCUCUUUAUCCCUCUUUUCCUCAAGAUCAGAGUACUUGCCGGAGACUAGAGUCUGGAGUCCUGGUAAGAUUUUCCUAAAGAUGAUGCUGGAAAGAACACUUAAGUGAGUGCAGACUCCCUUUUCGUCUCUUUUUACUUCCAUUAUAACCUGGAGAUCUAGCAGGAGAAAAGGUAUGAAAUUUGUGUUGGUCAGACAAGAGUUACAAGUCAGUUAACGAAUAUAGCUAGGCCCUAUCUUCACCUCUCUUCUCUUUUCUUCCAUGCAGGGAGUGAAGAUCUGGGAAGAGACAGAAAUAGCAGAAUUGAAGUUACCGGGCUGGCUUCUUACCUCUUUUACUGGAACCUAGCGUUCCGGGAAGAGGUUAAUGAAGGUGACUCAUGGAAUUCAGAGAAGAGACCCAUGGAAUAUUAUGGAAGCUAUCGGCCUCACCUCUUUCCUUCUCUCCUCUUCCCUUUGGAGGUUGGGGAUCAGGUUGGAGCCAGGCAAAGGACAGGAGAAAAUAGCCACUUCUCAUUGUGGACCAUGAGGCUGGAGACUUGGCAGGACAUUCAUGGAGAUGAGGAUUUGAAGCACCAGGCUUGAUAGAAGGCACUCACCUCUUCUACUCUACCUUCCUUUGCAACAUGGACUCCUCCCUGGAGAUCAAAUAGGAAACUUCUUUUAACAGACAGUAGAUACCAAAGAAUCGGUAUACAGGCUCACCUAUCCAUCCUCUUUGUUCCCAAGCACAAUGUGAAGAUCAGUGAAAAAAUCAAUGGGGCACAGUAGACGGUACCACAUGGUCUUCUACCCACUUUUCCUAGAGAAUGAAGUCCAAGCAGGAGUUUCAUGAUGAUCAGGCAGGAGACUGAUGACAAUCAAAAAAGAGUUCUCUCCUCCUCUUGUUAACAGGCUGUAUAACAGAAGCAAAGCAUGAGAGAAAGCAAUUUCUUCUGGGAGAGCCUUGGCAGGAAGUUCAUGGAGAUGCCAAUGCAGAAGCAAAGGGAAUGAAGAUACCUGCCUCACCUCUUUGCUUCUCAGCUCUUCCCAUUGGAGGCUGGGGAUCAGAAACGAGCCAGGCAAAGCACAAGAGAAAGCAAUCACAUCUCUUUCAUAGUUGGCUGAAAAUUCACAGAGAUGACCAUGGGGAAGCAAAGGGAAUGAUGGAAUGUACCUCUCUUUUCUCUUGUCCAACCAUUACAAAAUGAAGAGCAUUUAGGACAGAAGACUAGAAAUUUCUGUUGACCUGAACGGACAUACAAGUGAAUGAUGAAAAGUACCUACCUCGCCAUAAUUUUUCUUCUGUGUUUUCUUCUUUGGAAGAGGUGAAGACCUGGGAAGAGAUACAUGAGGCAGAAUUGAAGGCACUCGACUUGCUUCUUCUCAUUUUCCCUGAAGGCUAGAAUCCUACUAUGAAUGUCAUAAAGAUCAGUCAGGAGACUUUUGGAAUAUGAUGGAAGGUAGAUAUCUCUCAUCCUUCCUGCUCUCCUCUUCCCUUUGGAGGGUGGAGAUCAGGUAGGAGAUAGGCAAAGUAUAAUACAAAGCAACUACCUCUCCUUGAGGAACCAGAUCUUGAAGACUUGGCAGGAGAUUCAUGAAGAAGAGUACGUGAAGCGAAGAACAUGAUGGAAUUCAUACACCAUUCUCUUCUCAGUCCCCUUGGAACUGUGAGACCUAGCAGGAGACCAGGUAGGUAUCUUGGAUUGGACAGUCCCAUGUUAGGAGGGAAUGAGGAGGAAACCCGAUUACGUCUGCAUUUCUCUUACCUUGCCAUCCAUACAGAAUUUAGGGUGGAGGGAGGAUCCAGAUGAAUCCCAAUGCAAGGCCACUGACUCUCUUUAUCCCUCUUUUCCUCAAGAUCAGAGUACUUGCCGGAGACUAGAGUCUGGAGUCCUGGUAAGAUUUUCCUAAAGAUGAUGCUGGAAAGAACACUUAAGUGAGUGCAGACUCCCUUUUCGUCUCUUUUUACUUCCAUUAUAACCUGGAGAUCUAGCAGGAGAAAAGGUAUGAAAUUUGUGUUGGUCAGACAAGAGUUACAAGUCAGUUAACGAAUAUAGCUAGGCCCUAUCUUCACCUCUCUUCUCUUUUCUUCCAUGCAGGGAGUGAAGAUCUGGGAAGAGACAGAAAUAGCAGAAUUGAAGUUACCGGGCUGGCUUCUUACCUCUUUUACUGGAACCUAGCGUUCCGGGAAGAGGUUAAUGAAGGUGACUCAUGGAAUUCAGAGAAGAGACCCAUGGAAUAUUAUGGAAGCUAUCGGCCUCACCUCUUUCCUUCUCUCCUCUUCCCUUUGGAGGUUGGGGAUCAGGUUGGAGCCAGGCAAAGGACAGGAGAAAAUAGCCACUUCUCAUUGUGGACCAUGAGGCUGGAGACUUGGCAGGACAUUCAUGGAGAUGAGGAUUUGAAGCACCAGGCUUGAUAGAAGGCACUCACCUCUUCUACUCUACCUUCCUUUGCAACAUGGACUCCUCCCUGGAGAUCAAAUAGGAAACUUCUUUUAACAGACAGUAGAAACCAAAGAAUCGGUAUACAGGCUCACCUAUCCAUCCUCUUUGUUCCCAAGCACAAUGUGAAGAUCAGUGAAAAAAUCAAUGGGGCACAGUAGACGGUACCACAUGGUCUUCUACCCACUUUUCCUAGAGAAUGAAGUCCAAGCAGGAGUUUCAUGAUGAUCAGGCAGGAGACUGAUGACAAUCAAAAAAGAGUUCUCUCCUCCUCUUGUUAACAGGCUGUAUAACAGAAGCAAAGCAUGAGAGAAAGCAAUUUCUUCUGGGAGAGCCUUGGCAGGAAGUUCAUGGAGAUGCCAAUGCAGAAGCAAAGGGAAUGAAGAUACCUGCCUCACCUCUUUGCUUCUCAGCUCUUCCCAUUGGAGGCUGGGGAUCAGAAAAGAGCCAGGCAAAGCACAAGAGAAAGCAAUCACAUCUCUUUCAUAGUUGGCUGAAAAUUCACAGAGAUGACCAUGGGGAAGCAAAGGGAAUGAUGGAAUGUACCUCUCUUUUCUCUUGUCCAACCAUUACAAAAUGAAGACCAUUUAGGACAGAAGACUAGAAAUUUCUGUUGACCUGAACGGACAUACAAGUGAAUGAUGAAAAGUACCUACCUCGCCAUUAUUUUUCUUCUGUGUUUUCUUCUUUGGAAGAGGUGAAGACCUGGGAAGGGAUACAUGAGGCAGAAUUGAAGGCACUCGACUUGCUUCUUCUCAUUUUCCCUGAAGGCUAGAAUCCUACUAUGAAUGUCAUAAAGAUCAGUCAGGAGACUUUUGGAAUAUGAUGGAAGGUACAUGUCUCUCAUCCUUCCUGCUCUCCUCUUCCCUUUGGAGGGUGGAGAUCAGGUAGGAGAUAGGUAAACUAUAAUACAAAGCAACUACCUCUCCUUGAGGAACCAGAUCUUGAAGACUUGGCAGGAGAUUCAUGAAGAAGAGUACGUGAAGCGAAGAACAUGAUGGAAUUCAUACACCAUUCUCUUCUCAGUCCCCUUGGAACUGUGAGACCUAGCAGGAGACCAGGUAGGUAUCUUGGAUUGGACAGUCCCAUGUUAGGAGGGAAUGAGGAGGAAACCCGAUCACGUCUGCAUUUCUCUUACCUUGCCAUCCAUACAGAAUUUAGGGUGGAGGGAGGAUCCAGAUGAAUCCCAAUGCAAGGCCACUGACUCUCUUUAUCCCUCUUUUCCUCAAGAUCAGAGUACUUGCCGGAGACUAGAGUCUGGAGUCCUGGUAAGAUUUUCCUAAAGAUGAUGCUGGAAAGAACACUUAAGUGAGUGCAGACUCCCUUUUCGUCUCUUUUUACUUCCAUUAUAACCUGGAGAUCUAGCAGGAGAAAA